GUUGAUUGUUGUCGAGCAAUUUUUUGCAAUAAUUUUUGUUCUUUUUUCCCCCUUCCUUUUGCCACUUGAAAGAAAAUUGAUUUGUCAAAGCUUCCUAUGCAGUUAGCAAAUGCCAUUUAAGGGUUUUGUUAGACUGAAUGGUAAUUCUUCUGUAAUAUAGUACUUGAGUCCACCACUGGUAGAGAAAUUAUAUACCACUCUUACAUGCGCCUUAUAUGUUACAAAUGUAAAAAUGGACAGGAAAGCAUGAACGUUGUCUCUCUGAUAGGAGUGGUAGAGGGUUGACCAAUGUGAGCAUACUUUUUUUAAAAGGAUCCGCUGAUGUGAUUGCACUGUCAGACAUGCUUUCUUUGAUGCCUGGGAGAGUCAGCAGUUUGGAGGGUGAGGCUUAAGACAAAGGGAUUCCAGAGCUUUAGCUUAUUUAUUCCCUUCCUUCUCUCUCACACACUCCCUCCCUACCAUAUCCCUCCCUACCUUCUGUCUGUUGUGUGGACUGGCUGGGGACAACGUCUGGACAGGGAUGGGUGAGUGUGAAUGUGCUGGUGGAGCACAGCCAAGCCAGCAGAGGGAGAUGAGGAUGACAGGAGCCUUUGUUCUCUGUUGAUGAAAAGCCAUACUGGAUCCCCGCUCCCGCACAGACAGACAUUAGGGCACAUCACAGGCAACCAGUGCGGCAUGAUUAGAUUAAACCCAGGCCAAAAUUACUCUGCUCGCCCUAAUUAAACUUUAAUCUCCAAUACCACACAGAUUACCUGCAUCAUAAUUGAGUGUAGGAGCGGAGGGCAGAGAUUUUUAAAGAGGGCUUUUUGAGAGAGAGAGAGAGAGAGAGAGAGAGAGAGAGAGAGAGAGAGAGAGAGAGAGAGAGAGAGAGAGAAUUUAAUGCUGGCUGAAGGUCAUGUCCCCCUGCAGGGAAAAAAUCUUUCUCCUUUUCACCAUUUUUUCCCCCUUUGUGGAUAGAGGACAGUCAACUCCACCUAUGGCUGCUGUCAGACUGAGUGUCCUCUACACUUGGGUCUAUGCACCUCAAGUCUACACAAUAGCACUGCAGUCCUUUGCCUCCUGCCAUCCCACCUUCCUGCAGGACUCAUGGCCUCAUUCUUCUCCAUUUUAGAAAAGCAUUCAACAUAUUUCCUCUGUAGAAGUGUGUGUGAGUGUCCGUGUGCACACAACUGCAUGCAGAACUGUGAUUGAUGGAGCUGAUUCAGAGAAAGGACAGCAGGUGUCUACUCCCUCCCCCAUUUCAUGCCACAGUCCAGAAGGUUAUGGGCGAUAUAAGAGGUGCAAUUUUCUAUCUUAGAGCCUGCCGAUGUCCUUUAUGUCCACAAAGGUCCCGUUGCCACAGAGAUGGGCUGCGGCUGGUUGAACACAGGUUCUGAAAAGCACAGCGGAUCAAACUCCUUGCCAAAUCUGGCGUUCCUGCCUAAAAGCUUCACAAAGCUCUGAUUACAGUUUGUCUGGCUUGCCUAUAGACUCUCAUCAGACACUAAUGUUUUUACAUGCGACUUUGUCCAGUGCGUUAACAUGGGUACAGGCAAAUGUGAAAUGGUGUGCAUUAUACAGCCUAACUGAGUAGUGUACUGUUUUCAAGACAGAAGUAUCAGUUUGAGGGAGCAGAACAUGUGCGUGUUUUUGUCUGUGUCUUGUGCAUGAUAUGCUGUGCAGGGAAAGCUACCUGAGGGUCUGCAUGCCCUUCAGGAUCCUGCCUGGUUAUCCUUUGGAUGGCUGAGCAAGAGGACUGGGCCAGUUGAGCCUUGCUGGAGUCAGCAGCAUGUGGCCAGACUCCAUGUCCACUAGAGCUCAUCACAUCACUCAUAUAGCUCCAAAACACAGCAUUACGAAGAUAAAAACUGGAAAGACAUCUGUUGCACCCUACUAAUUUCCAUAAAAUAAAAAGGUUGAUGCAGUACCAAUAAAGACAUAGACUAAAAUGUAUUUUGGUACACACAGAUCUUUGAUCCCCAGAUGAUCGACUCACAAUGAAAAAAAGAUUAUCUACAAACACCAUGUGCAUUCCAAAUCUGGUAAAUGCAGGCACCAGGAUCCUCAGAGAUUAAGCUUUGGAAGAGGCAGCAGUGGCAAAUUGUGUGCUGUGUUGCUUUAACAUGGAGCAUCAGCUCAGCCACGCACACACACCUAGUCUGACAGCUCAGGGCUUUGAGGCAGGAGAGCCAUUUCCCCCUUGCACAAGAGACAGCAUGAGACGAAAGACAGAGAGAGAGAAGGAAACGAGUGUGAGAGAAGAAAAAGACAAGAAAUGGAGGAGGAAGAAAAGAGAGCAGGGAAAAAGAAUAAACAGAGGGAGGUGGUGUGGAAGGGGUGCUUUGUGGCUCUGAACCGUGAAAGCAAAUGAUGCUGUCGCCCCGCUAAGUCUCAGAGCAGAAGGCACACGCAGGCGUGAGGGAAGAAAGCGGCUCAACGGCGCAUGAGAGAGUUCAGGGCUGUAACGCGGUUCUGCCUCUGAUCGGCUCACCAAACAUGCCGUUGGCCAGUCCCAGCCAUAACUGAGAGUGCCAGUGGUUUGAAGAGAGUAGUAUACAACACCUGCUGUGGAGGUGCAGCACGAUCUCCAUAAGCCUGCGGAGUCAGGUGCACACCAACCCGUGUCAAGAAUUACUGAUUGGAGCCUGAUACAAACAGCGCACAACCCCCCAUUUGCAUCAGAUGCCUGAUUUGCAUGCAUACGGGGUGAAAGAAAGGACUGGUGCAUGAGAUACACACUGUCUACAAUUGAAAGGAGAGAAAGAACAUCUUUUCAGCUGGUGUCAUUCAAACCUUCCGUUCUGCCUCAGUCCUGUUCUUGCUUGGUUUUGAUCUCUUUCGUGAGCAUAGGCAGCACUUCAGAGAGCUGCACUGAGACCUCCAUUAAAAUUCUCUCACCCUGCUCUCUGCAUAAGGAAUAGGUGAUGACAGGGAAGUGUUUGUGUGCGCGUGUGUAAGUAUUUGCUUCAGCUGGCGGUCCCUCAGUUCAAAUGCAUUAAUUUCCUCUAAAGCAUCCAUUCUCCCAUGUAGGCCUGUCCAUAAUGCCUCCUUAGUUCCCUUUCUCAGCACAUAGGGAAUAUACUCUACAUACAAAAACAAGAACAUACCGCUGGAUAUGUAAAUGAAUAGCCUACAUACAUAGACUCUGAGAUUUCUUCAACCAGUCUAUCUUGUUUAUUGGGCUUAUAAAUCCACCUUCAUACUGUGUUUUCCUUCUGUUCUCUUUUGUUUCAUGUCUUUGCCCAGCUGACAACCCACAUCUGACAGAGAAUAAUAACCCUACAAUUGGGCACACACACAAACAAUAUACAUCCACUCUUUCUCUUCUUACCCCUACCACACGCAAAAAUAUGUGCAUAGACCUCCCCCACUGCCUGUAAGCUCUUUCACCCUGGCUGGAGAAAACAAUAUUUGCAUGUGCCCAUGUGCAGAACUCCAUCAGUCUCCAUUGGGGACUGUUUUCUGGCUGUAGGAGGCAGGUCUCUCCCUCUCCCCCACACUUAAAGCUCAUCGAUUCUCUCUCCCACCUCCAGCCUGCGUUUAUUAACAUGCCCCAUCACCGCCAAAUCGCUCCUCAUCUGUGCUGGCGCAGCUCAUGCAAUUAGCCGCCCGCUGCCUCGGGGCCGGUGUGAGCGAGCGUGUAAUACUGAUGCCGUUCUCACACCUUAAUGACACAGACUGGACACCGAGGCAUGAGGUGGAGGCCAAGAGAGCUAGCCAGGGUUCCAGUUGGUUUAUUGGGCAAGAUUAUUUUGCUUUAGUCAGGUGCUGCUGAAAACGAACCGGGGUUGACAUCAGCCUCGUUACCUCAGAGACGGGGUAGGGGGUGGGGAAGAGGGGGGGUUUAGUCUGAUGCAUGUUCGCUAAUGAGCUGUGACGGAUUGAUCUCCUGGAAGAUUCUAGAAAAGGGAGAGAAAUGAGACAAUACAGUCUGUUCACGCGAAGAUGUGGGGGUGUGCAAAAUAGGGCAGCGGUGAGGAGCUUGAGCUGAAGAGGAUAGGUCUGAAGCUCCUAGGGAGGGACGUACUGCGGGACAAACCCGUUAUUUUUAGGGGUGACUCAGAGUGUGUGUUUACCAGAGAGAGACCGUUAUACUGUUUCGGUAUAACCCCUUGUUUCGUGCCGACGGCACAUUUGCUAAACAUGCCUUCUCCUUUACCUUACCUCUUUUCAAAGGAUUCAAACAUUUUUGCCUUUCAUCUUGUCAUUAUUAUCCUUCUGCCCCACACAUUGAGCACUGUUUAAAAAAUGCUUCACCCUUCAGCUGGAACAGAAGAGGACAAAGAGCAUGUGAGCUACGUCCAAAAUGUACAGCCUACUAGACGUUAAAACACGUACCACAAUAACUAUAAGAUCAUAUUAGUACGUGUGAAAAUCCGGCGCCUAGACUCACCCACGCCAACAACUAUAUACCACACACAGCUCCUGGUUGCCUGUACAAGCUCGACUGCGGUCAUCUCGCCUCUUCGUUUUAUACGGCGCUUAUUUUUGGCUGCUUACGUCAUCGCCCGGGAGUGUGUGAGCGCGCCAAUCACUGCCGAUGUCACCCACUCCCUUAUUUUCAAAGAAAGCCAACAAAUAAUACUAAAACCAACCAAACCAAACUUAUUAUGUACAUAAAAGCGAUGACACGAAAGGAUUAUGGAGAGGAUCUGUUUCUGUGAACACACUUAGUAUUCACUGGGGUGUGGGUUAGGGUUAGGGUUUUAACUUCUUCUUCUUCUUUUUUUUUUUUAAAGACAUUUGGUGGCAAAAGCACACUCAUAAAAUUAUGAAAAUGAAUAAAUAGUGUUUGUUCCCUGGGGCAAUA
ensembl:lncRNA